GCUUACGGCCACACCACCCUGAACGCGCCCGAUCUCGUCCGAUCUCGGAAGCUAAGCAGGGUCGGGCCUGGUUAGUAUUUGGAUGGGAGACCGCCUGGGAAUACCAGGUGCUGUAAGCU
rnacentral:rRNA from 1 species